rnacentral:rRNA from 1 species
AUUGAACGCUGGCGGCAGGCUUAACACAUGCAAGUCGAACGGUAGCAGGUAAGUACUUGUACUUAUGCUGACGAGUGGCGGACGGGUGAGUAAUGCUUGGGGAUCUGGCUUAUGGAGGGGGAUAACGACGGGAAACUGUCGCUAAUACCGCGUAGAAUCGAGAGAUGAAAGUGUGGGACCUUCGGGCCACAUGCCAUAGGAUGAACCCAAGUGGGAUUAGGUAGUUGGUAGGGUAAUGGCCUACCAAGCCGACGAUCCCUAGCUGGUCUGAGAGGAUGACCAGCCACACCGGGACUGAGACACGGCCCGGACUCCUACGGGAGGCAGCAGUGGGGAAUAUUGCGCAAUGGGGGGAACCCUGACGCAGCCAUGCCGCGUGAAUGAAGAAGGCCUUCGGGUUGUAAAGUUCUUUCGGUGACGAGGAAGGUUGUUGUGUUAAUAGCGCAACAAAUUGACGUUAAUCACAGAAGAAGCACCGGCUAACUCCGUGCCAGCAGCCGCGGUAAUACGGAGGGUGCGAGCGUUAAUCGGAAUAACUGGGCGUAAAGGGCACGCAGGCGGACUUUUAAGUGAGGUGUGAAAUCCCCGGGCUUAACCUGGGAAUUGCACUUCAGACUGGGGGUCUAGAGUACUUUAGGGAGGGGUAGAAUUCCACGUGUAGCGGUGAAAUGCGUAGAGAUGUGGAGGAAUACCGAAGGCGAAGGCAGCCCCUUGGGAAUGUACUGACGCUCAUGUGCGAAAGCGUGGGGAGCAAACAGG